rnacentral:rRNA from 1 species
UCCUACGGGUGGCAGCAGUUAGGAAUUUUGGGCAAUGGGCGAAAGCCUGACCCAGCAACGCCGCGUGGGUGAAGAAGGCCCUCGGGUCGUAAAGCCCUUUUCCCAGGGAAGAUGAUGACGGUACCUGGGGAAUCAGCCCCGGCUAACUACGUGCCAGCAGCCGCGGUAAUACGUAGGGGGCAAGCGUUGUCCGGAUUUAUUGGGCGUAAAGCGCUCGCAGGUGGUUCAUUGCGUCGUGCGUGAAAGACCCCGGCGCAACUGGGGAGGGUCGGGCGAAACGGGUGAACUAGAGGCCAGUAGGGGGAUGCGGAAUUCCGGGUGUAGUGGUGGAAUGCGUAGAGAUCCGGAGGAACACCAGCGGCGAAGGCGGCAUCCUGGACUGGUCCUGACACUCAGGAGCGAAAGCGUGGGGAGCGAUCCGGAUUAGAUACCCGGGUAGUCG